UACGUAGGUGGCAAGCGUUGUCCGGAAUUAUUGGGCGUAAAGGGCUCGCAGGCGGUUUCUUAAGUCUGAUGUGAAAGCCCCCGGCUCAACCGGGGAGGGUCAUUGGAAACUGGGGAACUUGAGUGCAGAAGAGGAGAGUGGAAUUCCACGUGUAGCGGUGAAAUGCGUAGAGAUGUGGAGGAACACCAGUGGCGAAGGCGACUCUCUGGUCUGUAACUGACGCUGAGGAGCGAAAGCGUGGGGAGCGAACAGGAUUAGAAACCCUAGUAGUCC
rnacentral:rRNA from 1 species